UGGGGAAUAUUGCACAAUGGGGGAAACCCUGAUGCAGCGACGCCGCGUGAGUGAAGACGGUCUUCGGAUUGUAAAGCUCUGUUGCAGAGGACGAAACAAAUGACGGUACUCUGUGAGGAAGCCACGGCUAACUACGUGCCAGCAGCCGCGGUAAUACGUAGGUGGCAAGCGUUGUCCGGAAUUACUGGGUGUAAAGGGAGCGUAGGCGGGAAUCCAAGUUGGGUGUGAAAUGCCCGGGCUUAACCCGGGAGCUGCAUCCAAAACUGGAUUUCUUGAGUGAUGUAGAGGCAGGCGGAAUUCCUAGUGUAGCGGUGAAAUGCGUAGAUAUUAGGAGGAACACCAGUGGCGAAGGCGGCCUGCUGGGCAUUAACUGACGCUGAGGCUCGAAAGCGUGGGGAGCAAACAGGAUUAGAUACCCCCGUAGUCC
rnacentral:rRNA from 1 species